UGGCUAUUGCCUUUGGAUGUGACUAUAGAGU
rnacentral:piRNA from 1 species